UCCUCGGUUAGCUUGCAUUUCACGAUCGUUAGUGUAGCAUGUUUGUUGCUUCAGCACCGAAGAUCAGAAACGACUUCCCGUGAGUUUGUUUUAACUUGAACUAAGACAAAAAAUGUCGACUACAACAGCUACUUGUCCAGCUGCUUUUAAAAGAAAUGUGUCAUCACUCGUGGCGAUGACGCCACCAACCCGGAAGUAGCGCGGCAGUCUGAAACAACGAUGGCUCAAUGGCUUCAGGUGGGUAUCAAAACCAUGUGAGCUCAAAUUACGUUGUGCGAGCAUAAUGGGCACAAUAAAAAAAUGGGAGAGCGCACACAAUUGAAAUGCUUGCAUUUUUUAAAAUGUGCCCAUUACGCUCGUACUACAUAGUUUGAGCUCACAUUGUUUUGAUAGCCACUUGACGCUAUAGUGAAAGCUGCUACAGAUUGGAGCCGAAUGGAGGGCAAGAGGCUGCUCUGCGGAACCAAAACUCUUGGGAUUAAAAAAAAUGUUUCCUCACAAACGCCAUGGAUGGCACAGAGGAUGACAUGCUGUGGGAGCAAAAUAGGAUCACUCUUCAUGAUUCAAUGGAGGAGGUCCUAGAACUGUACCAAGUCAUUGAUGAAUUCGACAGUGAUGCACCAAAGUUUCCUGGUCAGCAUGCUUGUGGGAUGUGGCAGCAUCACCCUUGGUCCAAACAGCAUGAUAAACUACCCUCAUUGUAUGAUAUGCCAUCUUCCUCCACUCAAGGUCUCACUUCAAUGACAGGAUUCCAAACACAGCAGAAUGCAACUUCCACUUGGGGAGAUUUGCAUCAUAGUAGGCAUCAAUGAAUGGAGAAGGAUGAAUCCACUGAGUGAAGCAAAAUGGGAGCUCUAUAUGGAAAAUAUUUUUUCAGGAAGAAUAGAGACGAUAUUUAAUCUGAAUUUGAGACAAGGAUCUAUUGUACAACAUACCCUUAAAGCUUAAGUUCAGGGGUGCCCAGAAUUUUUUACCCCAAGAUCUACUUUUCAAGGAGGCAGCUUCUUGCGAUCGACGGUGGAGGUGGGGGGUCAAGCACGGUCAAUAGGGCCUGUCACUCACUGCUGCCAACACAAGUAGCAUUAGCAGUUAAAGGUUACAUGACAAAGAUGUAAUGCAGUCAGUUAAAAUUCAUAUUUUCAUUGUUUAUAUGUUAUGUAAUAUAUGCAUGUAACUUCCAGCAAGUUGUCAACAACAGUUUGGCUAUUAAAUUAGGUUUUUUUUUUUUUUAUUUACGGGUAUUGAGCACUCCCCGAACAUACCCGAAGCUCAAGACACCAUGCUGUGGUUGUGCUAUCCACCAUAAGGACUACCACAAGUGACAUUGCAAUUGACAAACACAGUACGCUACACUCUAUACACAAUUGCAAGCAACAUGUGGAAAUAUGAGGAGGAGGAUUUCAACAUACAGCAGUACCCAAAUGAACUUGGCAUCUUCCAACCAUAUAUUUGAGGCAAUCAGGAGGUCAGAACCUGACAGUGAAGACAACGAGCUGCAAAGUAGCAGCUGGACAACAGCAAAAAGACAGGUCAAUGUGACAUUAUGGCAAAAGCUUCUCUUUUUGUAUACUCAUGGCUUGAGGUAAUGGCACCUCAGGUAUGGCAAAAUUAGUUA